rnacentral:tRNA from 1 species
GCCCGGGUAGCUCAAUCGGUAGAGCGUGUGGCUCUUAAUUCUGGAAUAUCUUGAUAUUCUAUCACUAAACACCUCAAGGUCGUGGGUUCGAGCCCCACCUCGGGCU